GGGAGGAGGCGCCAUUUCACGCCCCUAACCAGCACCCAGCCAGCCAGUCACUCAGUGACAGUCGGUCAGCCAGUCACCGGGGAGUUUAACCGUCCCUACAUCCGCCGUGGACGUCCCAUCAACCGGCCUCGUAGCGUUCCCGCUUCGAGUCAUGGAAGCCACGGGAGAGCAGGCCUCUCCUGUCACGAGCGGCUCUGUCUAAAAUCUGGAUUUUGACAGCUAGGGCUAGCUAGUAUGUGAGCUUGCCUCUCCGGCGGCUGUCGGCAAAACGGAUCCCAUCCCUCCCGCGGUGGGUGGGAGACUUUUUUUGGUGUUGUUGGAAAUUCACCUUCCAGUUCCACCACCGCCUUAUCACGACCCUUCCAACUGUUUUUGGUCCAAGACGAGGCGAAGAUACAAAUUGGCUGCAUCGGCAACGGAUGUCCUAGAGAACGGAUGCGUGAGGACAUGUCCACCAUGGUGUGUGUGAAGGCGGAGGAGGAGCCUGGCGAGAAGCUGUCCCAGGAUGAGAUCAUCUCACGGACGAAGCAGGUGAUCCAGGGCCUGGACGCACUGAAGCAGGAGCACCACUCCAUCCUGGACGGGCUGCUGGCCACGCUGCGCUGCCUCAAGCAGGAGGAGGAGGGUGUCCUGGUGGAGGAGAAGUCGCUCAUGAUCCGCAAGUCCCUGGAGAUGCUGGAGCUGGGACUGAGCGAGGCCCAGGUGAUGAUGGCCCUGUCAGGCCACCUGAGCUCGGUGGAGUCGGAGAAGCAGAAGCUGCGGGCACAGGUGCGCCGCCUGUGCCAGGAGAACCAGUGGCUGCGUGACGAGCUGGCCGGCACCCAGCAGAAGCUGCAGAAGAGCGAGCAGAGUGUGGCGCAGCUGGAGGAGGAGAAGAAGCACCUGGAGUUCCUGAACCAGCUCAAGAAGUACGACCAGGACCUGUCCCCCUCGGAGAAGGACUCGGAAUCCGGCAAGGAGACUCUGGACGAUCUCUUCCCGGAUGACCACGACGACCAAGCACAAGGCAUCCAGCCGAUGCACGGCAGCGCGGCGGCGGCAGCCGCCCAGCAAGGCGGCUACGAGAUCCCGGCCCGCCUGCGGACGCUGCACAACCUGGUGAUCCAGUACGCCUCGCAGGGCCGCUACGAGGUGGCCGUGCCGCUCUGCAAGCAGGCCCUGGAAGACCUGGAGAAGACGUCAGGCCACGACCACCCAGACGUGGCCACCAUGCUCAACAUCCUGGCCCUCGUCUACAGAGAUCAGAACAAGUACAAGGAGGCAGCCAACCUGCUCAAUGACGCUCUUGCCAUCCGGGAGAAGACGCUGGGCCCGGACCACCCUGCCGUAGCCGCCACGCUCAACAACCUGGCGGUGCUCUAUGGCAAGAGGGGCAAGUACAAAGAGGCGGAGCCGCUGUGCAAGCGAGCGCUGGAGAUUAGAGAGAAGGUGCUGGGCAAGGAGCACCCGGACGUGGCCAAGCAGCUUAACAACCUGGCCCUGCUGUGCCAGAACCAGGGCAAGUACGAGGAGGUGGAGUACUACUACAUGCGGGCGCUGGACAUCUACCAGAGCAAGCUGGGGCCCGACGACCCCAACGUGGCCAAAACCAAGAACAACCUGGCCUCCUGUUACCUCAAGCAGGGCAAGUUCAAGCAGGCCGAGACGCUCUACAAAGAAAUCCUCACACGGGCCCACGAGAGAGAGUUUGGCUCCGUUGACGGCGAGAACAAACCCAUUUGGAUGCAUGCCGAGGAGAGGGAGGAACAAAGCAAGGGCAAGCAGAAGGACGGCUCAGUUUUCAGCGAGUACGGAGGCUGGUACAAAGCCUGCAAAGUGGACAGCCCCACCGUCACCACCACCCUGAAGAACCUGGGCGCGCUCUACAAGCGUCAGGGCAAGUUCGAGGCGGCCGAGACCCUGGAGGAGGCCGCCGUGCGCUCCAGGAAGCAGGGUCUGGACACAGCGCACAAGCAGCGUGUGGCUGACGUCCUGGGCGAGCCUGAGGCCCGCGACAAGCAGCGCAGCCGUGAGAGCUUGACCUCCGACUCGGUCAAGUACGAGAGUGGGCCCGACGGCGGCGAGGAAGUGAGCAUGAGCGUGGAGUGGAACGGGGAUGGCUCCGGCGCGCUGAAGCGCAGUGGCUCCUUCAACAAAUUGCGAGCGUCGCUCCGCCGCAGCAGCGAGAAGUUGGUGCGCAAACUGAAAGGCGGUGGCGAGCCCAAAAAUCCCGGCUUGAAACGAGCCAGCUCACUUGGGGUUCUGAACGUGAGCCAGGAGGCGGCGGCGCCCAGUGAGCCCAACUACCAAGAACGAAAUCAUAGUCUGAGGAGGAGUCGCGACUUGAGCGCCAGCCACAGCGACCUGGCUCGUUGACGCUCGCCAUGGCGGUUCCACUCAGACUCGUAAAUACGACUUUUUUUUACGCUUGCUUGUUGGCACAACGUCUGAACGUCACUCUCAACAUCUUUACUAGUCCAGUGCGACUGAGUGAAAAACGGUGGAUAAAAAGAAAACAACCAUGGGGAAUGACUAUUGUUGGCGGGGGACGCGCCCAGGUCGUCCUUCUUCACGCACUGACAUGUUACUUUCCAAGAGAAAAAAAGUCCAAAACGUCCACAAUUUAUUUUUUUUUUUUUUAAAUAAGAGGGGUUUUUUUGCGAUUGUAGUUGCAGCGAGCGAAUGUGGAGGAACUGGACUGGAAUGUCUUUGGCGUGCAAAUAUUCAAUUUCUACUUUGUACAUGCAACAGCACACGUAUGACCAAAAGACGAGCUAUCGUAAAACGUGACACUUUCUCUUUUGUUCUUAAUCGUUAUUAUGCUUUGUGUGGUAUUAUGCUACUUUUGCAGGGUUGUGCAAUAAGCCUUAGUUUGCUUGAUUGUCUGCUGGUCACGUAACCUCCCAAAAUACGGACGAUGAAGGCAGCAUGCCAUUCCCAACGCUGUCGUUUCCGCAACAAUACACGGGCACGACGCGAACAACGCACGAUAUUAAUCGUGGCCGUUUCUGAAAUGCGAGUGCCUGUUGAUUGGUCUUUUUAUUUGGUGGGUGGCGCCAAUGCACUGACAGAGGGCAGCAGCACAGUGACGAUAUCAGGAAUGUAUUGACAGUGACAAAGUGUGAAUUGCGACUUGUUUGUGCCAAGAAUGAAUGACAUUACAAUGCAGUGAGUCGUGUUAGUGAAGAAUAAAAAAAUAGAUCGUUCCAAUGUGGCUGCUUUCAUUGGGUUCUUCAGCGCCACCUGCUGCACGCAUUGUCCAAUGCCACAACUCACACAAGUUUCUUUUAACCUGUACAAUGCCAAUUGUUUUUCUUCCAAUUUGCAGUGUGUCAAAAGAAAAAUAAAUACCCAUAUAUUGUUG